CGCAGCCGCGGUAAUUCCAGCUCCAAUAGCGUAUAUUAAAGUUGUUGCAGUUAAAAAGCUCGUAGUUGAAUUUCGGGGUCAGUAGGUUGGUCAUGCCACUGGUAUGUACUGGUCUCACUGAUUCCUCCUUCCUGAUGAACUGUAAUGCCAUUAAUUUGGUGUUGCAGGGAAUCUGGACUGUUACUUUGAAAAAAUUAGAGUGUUUAAAGCAGGCUAACGCCUGAAUACAUUAGCAUGGAAUAAUGAAAUAGGACGUUCGAUCCUAUUUUGUUGGUUUCUAGGAUUGACGUAAUGAUUAAUAGGGAUAGUUGGGGGCAUUAGUAUUCAAUUGUCAGAGGUGAAAUUCUUGGAUUUAUUGAAGACUAACUACUGCGAAAGCAUUUGCCAAGGAUGUUUUCAUUAAUCAAGAACGAAAGUUAGGGGAUCGAAGACGAUCAGAUACCGUCGUAG
rnacentral:rRNA from 1 species